UACGUAGGGCGCAAGCGUUGUCCGGAAUUAUUGGGCGUAAAGAGCUCGUAGGCGGCUUGUCACGUCGGGUGUGAAAGCCCGGGGCUCAACUGGGGAGGGUCACGCGAUACUGAUCGACUCGAAGGCAGGAGAGGGUAGUGGAAUUCCCGGUGUAGUGGUGAAAUGCGUAGAUAUCGGGAGGAACACCAGUGGCGAAAGCGACUACCUGGCCUGUUUCUUGACGCUGAGGCGCGAAAGCUAGGGGAGCAAACGGG
rnacentral:rRNA from 1 species